AAUCAACGCUGGCGGCGUGCCUAACACAUGCAAGUCGAACGCGAAAGCCCCGCAAGGGGCAAGUAGAGUGGCAAACGGGUGAGUAACACGUGGGUGACCUGCCUUCGAGUGGGGGAUAACGUCCCGAAAGGGACGCUAAUACCGCAUGACAUCCUGCCUUUGGAAAGGCGGAGAUCAAAGCCGGGGAUCGCAAGACCUGGCGCUUGAAGAGGGGCCCGCGCCUGAUUAGCUAGUUGGUGGGGAACGGCCUACCAAGGCGACGAUCAGUAUCCGGCCUGAGAGGGCGGACGGGACACACUGGGAACUGAGACACGGCCCAGACUCCUACGGGAGGCAGCAGUGGGGAAUUGUUCGCAAUGGCGCAAGCCUGACGACGCAACGCCGCGUGGAGGACGAAGAUC
rnacentral:rRNA from 1 species